rnacentral:misc_RNA from 1 species
GGGAGUAAAAGUCGUAACAAGGUUUCCGUAGGUGAACCUGCGGAAGGAUCAUUCAUAAUAAGUGUUUUACUGCACUUUUUAAAAAUAGUACUCACCUUGUGUGCAAUGUUGUGUUUCUUUUCGGAGAAACACCUACACCAACCUAUAACCUUGAACCACUUUGUCUGAAAAACUAUUAUGAAUACUUAAUUCAAAAUACGACUUUCAACAACGGAUCUCUUGGCUCUC